GGGCCGGGGCCUGGCAGGCGGCGCGGCGGCCGCGGUAGCAGCCCGGGAGCCCCGGCGGGAGGUGACACAGCCCGCGCCCACCCCCCACCUCCCCCCUCCAGCGCAGGCGGCACUGGCCCAGCUCAGAAGGGCGGGCUGUCGGCGAGCAGGGGCAGCGGCAGCCGCGGAAGGGACAGGAGUCCGCACAUCCGAGAGCUGCGGCCAGGGCGGCCAGGGCCUGAAUGCAGCUCUGGGAACCGGUGCCGCCCGGCUCCUUCCAGCGGCCUCCUCGCGUCCGGAGCCCAAGCUGACGCGGUGGCCAGAAGCAGCCAGAGGCGGUGCUCGGGGCCCCCACCCGCCAGGGCAGGGGGCCCGGCGAGGCCCGGGAGGCAGACAGGCCGCCAGGUGCGGCAGGCCGGGCGGGGAGAUGCCUCACUCCUCGAGGACUUGCUCGGGGACGGCGGGCAGGGGCUGAGACCCUGCGGCCCCGCGGUCACCGGUUGAGUCCCCUCAUAGGCCUGCUUGGAGACACAGAAUCCGGCGCUCGGGAGAAUGCUCACGAUCGCAUAAGGGCACGCUGGCUCUCCCUGCCCGGGCUGCGUGUCCCUUGUUGUCAGGUGUGCCUUGACUCACUCCUAGACCCGGCUGGCGAAUGCCCACGGUCCCGGAGACCCCUUGGGGGGUUUCUAGACGCGGAUCCCAGCCUUGCUGGAGAGUCGAUCCCCAGAACACCCGACCACCGCCCAACCUCCACCAAUUAGCCAUCUCGGAAACAUCAGUUGGGCGCUGCCUUCCAGAACUAGCAGUGUGCCCACAGGUGCUCCGGGGAGUCUAACUGGGGCUGUUAAUUGAGCAUUUAACUCGCACCUGUAAGUGCGUCCAUCUGUGCUGAGACUCCGUGACGUCAUUGUUUGGGGCGUGGGUGCCGUGCACCGUCUCCUCCGUGCAGCCUGCUAAGAUGUACAGUGUGUGCACGGAACAGAAAUAGAGCCCACGCUCGGAGGUUUUGCUGAGUCGUUCUGACCUUGAAAGCAUUGACGAUCAACCUUAUGUUUUCCGGUCCCUCGGUGCCAGGGUGCCUGGCUUGUCUGUCCAGGGCCCAUCAAGUCCCUGUUGCUAGUCAGAACACAGCCAAUUUUGCCCAAAGAUACAAAAGCUGCAACAGCAAACAGAAGCCAAACGUAGCCCAGAGGACGUCCGUGAGCACUGAUUGAACCAAACGGCUUCCUAGUUUCCGGUCGCUUUCUCUGUGUGCACGAGAAAACGAAUUCAGACGUGUGGAAAGAACCCCAUUUGGGCCAUCCGAGACUUCGAUCUUCCCAGAUCGGAGGGAAGCAGGAAAGGCUUUCCGGGGCAGUGAGCAGGAGAGGCUGCCGGACGGAGCGGCAGGAAGCGUCCCCAGAGGUGGAUUACAACACGUCCAACCUUUCCCGGUGACCGCGGGGACACGCAGGAUUUCUCCCACUCUCCUCUCGACACGCUGCACCUCCCGCUGCAAAUGGACACCCCUUUUGCCACCCGUCUGUGGCAGGGAACAGAAUUCCGGGGGCUACGGUCUUGGAGCUUCUCAGAUGGACCGUCCACCUCCUCACCGGCACUCGCGGUGCCAAAGGGAGCCCGCACGGGUGGCCGCCGGCCCUCCAGACACAACGCGGCCACACCGGGUCCCCGAGCAUGGAAGCGAGCCUCGUGCAGGAAUUUUUAAAUCGCACAUGUAGUGCCUACUUCUGCUGAACAGCCCUGAGCCAGACAACACGGGAUGAAGACUUCGUUUUCUUAAGAGAAAAGAACUCCUCUCAUCAACUUCCGUGCGAAGCGUUUACCUGAAGCCUCUAUUCUUACGUGUUCCUCUGGAGCUUCCCCGGAGCCGCCAAAUCCGUGCUCGACAGCUGCGUGAGCCAGCUGGCUGCAGACAGCUCCUGGAGUGCUUAAGGAUGAUUUCUUGGCAGCUCUUGGAAAAAAACGCUAAUUGAAAGGUUAAUCAAAUCAGUCAUCCUCGCGUGUUGGUUAAGCAGACGCCCCGUCUCCGCCGCAGACUGAACAGAUGCGGGGCUCUGCGUCCGCGCCUUCGCUCUUGAGCACGGAAGCAGUAGGGUGGCGCAUUCUGAAUCGAAAUCGUUGUUCUCGGUUGGGAAACUCUGCUUCCCUUUCAGGAUCUUGCGGGAUCUACGUUGGUAGCGACACUAAUUCCGAUUCUACAGGGGAUUUUUUUGUUUGUUUAUUCUGAGAGGGGGAGAGAGAGAAUCCCAAGCAGCCUCCACACUGUCGGCACGGAGUCCAAGGCGGGGCUUGGGUCCCUGAACCGACGUGAGACGAAGUCAAGUCAGACACUUGACCAACCGGGCCACCCAGGCACCUCUGCAGGUGUUCCGCCUAAACCAAGUUCAAGAAUUAAACUGUAGAGGCUGUGCGGUUAAAGAAUAAGCCAUCAAGUGGGUCACAACUGUUUCAAGGAAGACGUCUGUUUCUAGGAAGGCAUUUCGGGAAUCGUUAUGGAAGCAAACUCUGAACACGCCAGAUGAGCACGUAAAGACUGAAUCAGAUUUAAACACGAGCGGCUGAGAAAACGACACGGAUCUGCAAUAUGACAACAUGUCCCCAUCAGGGAGAAGUCAGCACGACCACCUAGAAGGACUUCGCUCCUGGUGCCCUGAACGACGCAGGGCAGAUGAGGAGGGGCGGACGACCAGCCCUCUGACGGAGCCCGCAAUCAGAGCCGUGCCCGGACACCCCUGGACGCCAUCCCUGUACCCUGUGCUGCACGCGAGAUCGCACUGCACGGCCAGCAUCCGAACCGAACACACGCAUCGGGAUCGGGAAGCGGCGAGGCGGAGGCCUUAUUCCCCCCAACGUCCAAACGCCGAAGCCUUCCUAUUUCCCGGUCCGAGGCAAAAGUAUCAAAUGACUCACUGGGACGUGGGAGACGUUUAUGAAUUUAAUGGUGAGUUCUCAAGAGUAAGAAAGCAAAUGAGGCGUUUGCUGGGACGAAAGCAGAGAUAAAGUCGAGAAAAACACGAGUCGGUUUUCCACAUUAGCAACGGAGCUGUGGACGCUACGUACCGAUAAACGUCUGACACUUGAAACACUCUUCCAGCCAGUCUGGCGUCACGAUGUGCUUCACCACGGAGAUGGCCGUCAGGAACUUCACCGUGCGCGUCACUUUGCUGGCGAUGAGGUGUGUGCAUUUCUGCGCAGACUCGGCGACCUCGCCCCCAAGGAUGUAGAGCUUCUGGAGGGAGGGGCACAGAGCGGAGGUGAGCGCGGGGCCGCACCUGAGCACGGCGCGCCGCGCUGGCCUGAGAGCUGGGAGACGGCGAGCACAGCAACGCACGUGCACGUGUCCGGAGUCGACCCCGCGCCUUGAGCUAAAACCAGCGAUUCCCCGAGGGCCCCCGUAUCACACCCCACAGACACGAUGCCCGGAGAACGAGGCGGCGCGCUUCCUGAAAAGGCGCGAACAUGCCCGGACUUUCUAAGCUGAAAUGGGUGUCGAUGAGGCACGUUAACAGACAGACCCUGUUCAUAAAAAUUAGAGAAGUGACUGAGAAGACGUGAACGUCCAGGAAAGAGCUCAGUAACUAGGCUCAAUUUUAAAAGUGAAAAAAAUUGAUACGGCACUUAGGGCGGUUUCUUCUCCUUCAAAACCUGAGCGGUACGAUGAACGAAGCCCACGCGACGACAGGCCGACUUACACCCUCUUGACCGCCGCCCCAAAACAACAGCCAAGCAAGAUGCCCCCUCCCUUGUGCUGUUACUUCCCACAGCACGCUGAAGGCUGCGUUCCCACUUCCUGUCCAAGCACAAGCACGCGGCCCUGGUCCCCACCCAGGAGAACCGGCCUGCGGCUUCCCCGACACCGGGGGGGGGGGCUUCUGGGACGAGCACGUUCAAGCAGGUUGCUCGCGUUCGCAGGACCAUAAAUGUGGGUCUCGUCUACUCACCCGAGUUACGUUUUCUACUAUUAAGAGAGCAAGGGUCUAAGUAUAAAACUAUAAAAACCACAGAACAAGGUGAAACAUCACUUACGAUUUAAUGGCUACUUUUACUGUAAAAACGACUACAACUGAUUUACAAGCCAAAAAGACUGUUGUAGCAGGACGUUCCUGAUUAAAUGUUCCUUUAACACACUGCUAGCCUAAAGCCAACGUGUACAAAACGGAACGGUGCUAAAACUCCUCCCAGAACGUAGAAUGGAAUUUCACCUUAAUAUACUGUUGAACUUGCACAGGCUCAAAUCCAGUGAAAAGCACAAAAGGGGUCAAUUCUGGUGUUAACUUUUUGGUGGGAGGGGGUAGAUCUUCAAUUCUGUGAAAGAAAAUAAAAAUGCUGUUUAGCAAACAACAGA